AAAAGAUCAAGAGCAGUGCAGCUGGGUCCUUUACCAGAAAGGGAGAAAGUUGUGCCUGCUGUCUGUGGCCACAGAGCUGCAGCCACACAUGAGCAUCACAUGGAAAAUGUGGGAGAGCCUUGUCUGAUAUUCAGCCUGCAGAAAGCCCAGAUUUAAGGCAGUCUUAAGAAAAGACAAGAUGGCUCAGUCCAGAGACUAAAACUGGCUUCACUUCCCCACUGAUGUUCUUCCCUUCUGUUGAUUUCUCAACUUGAGGCAGUAUGAUUGCUU